UACGGGGGGGGGCAAGCGUUGUUCGGAAUUACUGGGCGUAAAGCGCGUGUAGGCGGUUCGGUAAGUCCGCUGUGAAAGUCGGGGGCUCAACCCUCGGAUGCCGGUGGAUACUGUCGGGCUAGAGUACGGAAGAGGCGAGUGGAAUUCCUGGUGUAGCGGUGAAAUGCGCAGAUAUCAGGAGGAACACCGGUGGCGAAGGCGGGUCUCGUGGGCCGAUGACUGACGCUGAGGAGCGAAGCGUGGGAGCGAACAGG
rnacentral:rRNA from 1 species